UCUCGUUCAGAUGGAGACUUUACCCCGGUU
rnacentral:sRNA from 1 species